CACGCACGCACACACACAGGUGGCUGUACAGAAUUUGUACCAGCUAGGGGGGGUCUAACCGUGACCCAAACUUGGGAGCACGCGAAGGGCCCGGUCCUGGGUUCAAAAUUUUUGA